GUCCCGACCUUCGCCGUCGUCGCCGCUGCCGCCGGCCCGCGGGCGGGAUGGGGAGGAACGGGGACUGUCCCCGGCGCUUGGCUUCCGGGGCUCUCUGCGAGCCCCGGGCCGCGGGGACUCCGUUCCAGCCGCCGCGUCCGAGGCGGACCCGUUCCUCCACAGGCUGCGCCCCAUGCUCAGCUCCGCCUUCGGCCAGGUAAGGGCCGCGCCUCCCGUCAGCGCUCCCGGGAAAGGCGCUCGGGACCCUGCCGGCCGCGGCUGCGCGUCCACAGCCUCCUCCUGCGGCCCGUGGCCCCCCUCCCCCGGGUCACGCCUCGGCUCACCCGGUCCUCCCCGGGCCGGCGCCCUUGCCGGCACUCCUCCUCCCCGUGCCUGGUUCAGCACCCCGUGCGCUGUCCACGCUCCGGGCCUCUUCGGGGCAAGGCCCUCCCCCAUAACCUCCCUCAUACCUGCCGGAACCCGCCAGUCCUGGAAGAGAGCGACCUCUAUGACCCUCCUGGAGAUUUGCGGGGGUCGAGGAGGGGCGCUCCGAGCAGGUGGCGCCAAACCCACUCCUCUGGCCUCUGGCCAGUACUGCCGGGGAGCGACUCAGGAGAGCAAGCGGUUUGGAGUCUGGGGGUCAAGAGAGGAGAUCUCAGAGAACACAGAAUUACUUGAGGGCGAGGGACAUUAGCCACUGCCUAUCAUGUACCUGAAGGCCUGGGAAAAGUUAGGAGAUUCAAAAAUAUGAGGAAAGAGAAGAGAUAUCUGGGUAGGCAUGGAGGGACAUGCAGAGCUGUGGCUCAAACUGGAACUUUGGAGUGGUUUAAGGAGACUGUCACUCCAGGGAUGCCAUUGUAAGGGUCAGAAAGGCCACGAAGAGGUCAUCAGUGGUUCCCGCAACCUUUUCCUCAAGAGUCCCAGGCACCUGGGCACCUGCCCUUUAAAAACUGCUCCGUAGUCACAAUCCAGGUCUACAGUUGGGGGCUGUGCUGCUGGGGAGACAGCUCAGUAGAAGGAAACCUCUGAACUCCCGAGCAAAAAAGCCAGGGUUUCCCCUAGUUCGGAGUCUGUAAUCAAGUCAAACUCAUUGGCACAGCUUUGAGACAGUUCUGUGGCAGCCUCUGAGAGGUGUCAUGCAGAGGUCUGAUUAGAGCGUUUGCAUGGUUUGUAGGGAAACAGGGGGGCCUGCGCCUUUCUGUGCUAAGAUCUAAAAUAAAGAAGCUGUUUCAAGCUCGUGGCUUGCCACGCCGGAUCAGAAUUCCAAGGAGGCCCUGUGUGUUUUGCUUCAGAUCUGCACAUUUCUUUUCAAAAUACUACUCUGCAGUGGCUGAUGCUGGUGGAGGUCUGACAUGAAGGCAGCUGCACAUGGAUUUGGGUUGCGUGGGGCUGCUGUGGUGGGGCCAUAGGGCAGCGGUGUGUGGCUUUGUUCCUGCAGGGAGCCCUCGUUAGCCGAGUUAGCUGGAAACAGUUCUCUGGAGUAGAGGUUUGGAUGCAGAGCCGUGAGAGUUAGUGAGGCGAUGUGUUAGGGGAGUUCAUUGCAGUGGUUUGUGUUAAUGAGGAGGUGUAGGCUGUCAGGGCACUAGUGGUCUUUGGAUUGGGGCUGGGUUGCAGCAGGAAUGCUGGUUUGUUGAAUGGGUGAUACCGAUUCAUUCAUUUAUCAAUUACUUCUUGAGCAUUUAUUAAGGAAACCUUCAGGGGUUUCCUUAGUUCCUGUGGUUUGUUUGUUCAGACAUUUGCUAGACACCAGGAGGACAACGGUGAACCAGGUAGCCAGGGCCCUGGCUGAACCUAGCAGUGUGGAACGGCAGGCCAUUGGCUAGAAUCAUACACUUUCUGGUUACUCAGUUUGCUGCUGAUCUGACUCAGCUCCUGAAAAAAAAAAAAAA
ensembl:lncRNA